GGUUUGUGGCUCAGUGGUAGAGUACUCGCCUCACAUGUACAAGACCCUGGGUUCGAUCCUCAGCACCA
rnacentral:tRNA from 1 species